rnacentral:rRNA from 1 species
CUGAGUACGGCGGAACACGUGAAAUUCCGUCGGAAUCCGGGAGGACCAUCUCCCAAGGCUAAAUACUCCCUAGUGACCGAUAGUGAACCAGUACCGUGAGGGAAAGGUGAAAAGCACCCCGGAAGGGGAGUGAAACAGUUCCUGAAACCGUGUGCCUACAAGUAGUUAGAGCCCGUUAAUGGGUGAUAGCGUGCCUUUUGUAGAAUGAACCGGCGAGUUACGAUUUGUUGCAAGGUUAAGCGGAAAAAGCGGAGCCGUAGCGAAAGCGAGUCUGAAUAGGGCGCAUAAGUAACAGGUCGUAGACCCGAAACCAGGUGAUCUACCCAUGUCCAGGAUGAAGGUAAGGUAAUACUUACUGGAGGUCCGAACCCACGCACGUUGAAAAGUGCGGGGAUGAGGUGUGGGUAGCGGAGAAAUUCCAAUCGAACUUGGAGAUAGCUGGUUCUCUCCGAAAUAGCUUUAGGGCUAGCCUCGAGGUAAAGAGUCAUGGAGGUAGAGCACUGUUUGGACUAGGGGCCCUUCUCGGGUUACCGAAUUCAGAUAAACUCCGAAUGCCAUGUACUUAUACUCGGGAGUCAGACUGCGAGUGAUAAGAUCCGUAGUCGAAAGGGAAACAGCCCAGACCACCAGUUAAGGUCCCCAAAUAUAUGUUAAGUGGAAAAGGAUGUGGGGUUGCUUAGACAACCAGGAUGUUGGCUUAGAAGCAGCCACCAUUGAAAGAGUGCGUAAUAGCUCACUGGUCGAGUGACCCCGCGCCGAAAAUGUACCGGGGCUAAACAUAUUACCGAAACUGUGGAUGAACCUCUUUAGAGGUUCGUGGUAGGAGAGCGUUCUAAGGGCGGUGAAGUCAGAUCGGAAGGACUGGUGGAGCGCUUAGAAGUGAGAAUGCCGGUAUGAGUAGCGAAAGAAGGGUGAGAAUCCCUUCCACCGAAUAUCUAAGGUUUCCUGAGGAAGGCUCGUCCGCUCAGGGUUAGUCGGGACCUAAGCCGAGGCCGAUAGGCGUAGGCGAUGGACAACAGGUAGAGAUUCCUGUACCAGUGCUAAUUGUUUAACCGAUGGGGUGACACAGAAGGAUAGGGAAUCGCACGAAUGGAAAUGUGCGUCCAAGCAGUGAGUGUGAGAAGUAGGCAAAUCCGCUUCUCGCGAAGCAUGAGCUGUGAUGGGGAAGGAAAUUAAGUACGGAAGUUCCUGAUUUCACGCUGUCAAGAAAAGCCUCUAGGAAGAGUAGUACUGCCCGUACCGCAAACCGACACAGGUAGAUGAGGAGAGAAUCCUAAGGUGAGCGAGAGAACUCUCGUUAAGGAACUCGGCAAAAUGACCCCGUAACUUCGGGAGAAGGGGUGCUCUAUUAGGGUGCAAGCCCGAGAGAGCCGCAGUGAAUAGGCCCAGGCGACUGUUUAGCAAAAACACAGGUCUCUGCAAAACCGUAAGGUGACGUAUAGGGGCUGACGCCUGCCCGGUGCUGGAAGGUUAAGAGGAGUGCUUAGCUUCGGCGAAGGUACGAAUUGAAGCCCCAGUAAACGGCGGCCGUAACUAUAACGGUCCUAAGGUAGCGAAAUUCCUUGUCGGGUAAGUUCCGACCCGCACGAAAGGCGCAACGAUCUGGGCACUGUCUCAACGAGAGACUCGGUGAAAUUAUAGUACCUGUGAAGAUGCAGGUUACCCGCGACAGGACGGAAAGACCCCGUGGAGCUUUACUGCAACCUGAUAUGGAAUGUUUGUACCGCUUGUACAGGAUAGGUAGGAGCCGAAGAGACGUGUGCGCUAGCAUACGAGGAGGCAAUGGUGGGAUACUACCCUGGCUGUAUGACCAUUCUAACCCGCCACGCUUAGCGCGUGGGGAGACAGUGUCAGGUGGGCAGUUUGACUGGGGCGGUCGCCUCCUAAAGAGUAACGGAGGCGCCCAAAGGUUCCCUCAGAAUGGAUGGAAAUCAUUCGCAGAGUGUAAAGGCACAAGGGAGCUUGACUGCGAGACUGACAAGUCGAGCAGGGACGAAAGUCGGGCUUAGUGAUCCGGUGGUUCCGCAUGGAAGGGCCAUCGCUCAACGGAUAAAAGCUACCCCGGGGAUAACAGGCUUAUCUCCCCCAAGAGUCCACAUCGACGGGGAGGUUUGGCACCUCGAUGUCGGCUCGUCGCAUCCUGGGGCUGUAGUCGGUCCCAAGGGUUGGGCUGUUCGCCCAUUAAAGCGGCACGCGAGCUGGGUUCAGAACGUCGUGAGACAGUUCGGUCCCUAUCCGUCGCGGGCGCAGGAAAUUUGAGAGGAGCUGUCCUUAGUACGAGAGGACCGGGAUGGACACACCGCUGGUGUACCAGUUGUUCCGCCAGGAGCAUCGCUGGGUAGCUAUGUGUGGCAGGGAUAAACGCUGAAAGCAUCUAAGCGUGAAGCCCCCCUCAAGAUGAGAUUUCCCAUUUCUUCGGAAAGUAAGAUCCCUGAAAGAUGAUCAGGUAGAUAGGUUUGGAGUGGAAGUGUAGCGAUACAUGGAGCGGACAAAUACUAAUCGAUCGAGGACUUAACCAA